rnacentral:rRNA from 1 species
UGAGACAGUUCGGUCCCUAUCUGCCGUGGGUGUUGAAUACUUGAGAGGAGCUGUCCCUAGUACGAGAGGACCGGGAUGGACGUAUCUCUGGUGGACCUGUUGUCGUGCCAACGGCAUAGCAGGGUAGCUAUAUACGGAAUGGAUAACCGCUGAAGGCAUCUAAGCGGGAAACUAACCCAAAGACGAGUAUUCCCUGAGAGCCGUGGAAGACUACCACGUUGAUAGGCUGGGUGUGGAAGCGCAGUAAUGUGUGAAGCUUACCAGUACUAAUAGCUCGA